rnacentral:misc_RNA from 1 species
GUGAAUUACUACUAUUGUUGUGGUUUUAUCAUAAUAACCCUUUUUCCUUGAGAAUUGCUAACAGAUGAUACACUUGUAUCAUAUAGAUAUUUUAAGGCACAAUUGCGCUACAUUUCAUAGCAUAUAGGUAGCUAAUUGCAUGCAUUUUAGUUAGUUUUAUUAGUUUUUGUCAAUUUAUUUUAUCUCCACUGAAUUUCAUGUUUUUGGUAUCUUUUCAAGUGUUUUAAAGGAAGUACAAGGCAUAAAAGUCAAAUAGACAUGUUUGGGGAUAAGGAAAAGCAAGAAAAGCUAUUGCAUCAUAGUACAUGGUUCAUGUAAGGAUGAAGUUAGGCCCGUGUAACCCUCUCGUAAGAGAAGAUUGAAGAAAACAUGAAGAAGCCAUAGCACACGGGUUAGGCAAUUGGCCUCGUGUACCUCACAAUGCCUUGGGUAACUCUCUGGACAUUUAAAUCUAAAUAGCCAAAGAAAGGAAGGUAGCACACGGGCCGUGUACUUCACCUAGUGUAAACCUAAAGACUCCCGUGUAACCUACUGUCUCCCACCUGAACAAAGCCAAAUUUCAUCCAGAAACUUACACGCCCUUGGGCCAUGUACUUUGUAGCAGGCAGAUUUCUGAUGUGACUCCAACUCCACUCCUUGCAUUCUGAACAGGCUUCUAAGGCUCUUGGGACUCUAAAACAUGACCCCGAGACACCCAAUAUAAGUACUAGAAGACCAAAACAAGGAGAGGACACACACCUUUGAAAGAAGUCUUCUAAUUUAGAAUUAGUUUUAGCCUUGCAAACCCUAGUUUUUCAAGCCGUUUGAAGAGAAGCUGCAUCAAUACCAAGGAAAAGA